rnacentral:rRNA from 1 species
GAUGAACGCUGACAGAAUGCUUAACACAUGCAAGUCUACUUGAUCCUUCGGGUGAAGGUGGCGGACGGGUGAGUAACGCGUAAAGAACUUGCCUUACAGACUGGGACAACAUUUGGAAACGAAUGCUAAUACCGGAUAUUAUGAUUGGGUCGCAUGAUCUGGUUAUGAAAGCUAUAUGCGCUGUGAGAGAGCUUUGCGUCCCAUUAGUUAGUUGGUGAGGUAACAGCUCACCAAGACGAUGAUGGGUAGCCGGCCUGAGAGGGUGAACGGCCACAAGGGGACUGAGACACGGCCCUUACUCCUACGGGAGGCAGCAGUGGGGAAUAUUGGACAAUGGACCAAAAGUCUGAUCCAGCAAUUCUGUGUGCACGAUGAAGUUUUUCGGAAUGUAAAGUGCUUUCAGUUGGGAAGAAGUCAGUGACGGUACCAACAGAAGAAGCGACGGCUAAAUACGUGCCAGCAGCCGCGGUAAUACGUAUGUCGCAAGCGUUAUCCGGAUUUAUUGGGCGUAAAGCGCGUCUAGGCGGCUUAGUAAGUCUGAUGUGAAAAUGCGGGGCUCAACCCCGUAUUGCGUUGGAAACUGCUAAACUAGAGUACUGGAGAGGUAGGCGGAACUACAAGUGUAGAGGUGAAAUUCGUAGAUAUUUGUAGGAAUGCCGAUGGGGAAGCCAGCCUACUGGACAGAUACUGACGCUAAAGCGCGAAAGCGUGGGUAGCAAACAGG